AUAGGAUUAAUACAAUUAUUUAAUAAACAUAGUUCUGAUUCCAAUUUAAAUAAUCAUAAUCACAAUUAUUCAGUUAUGCAAUUAACUGGCUGGUUAGCAAAUGAAUGUUUUCUUAGCAUAUGCAUGAAAAACUGAGAUAAGUUCUUUUCUUUCCAAGAAAUGUUCAACAAAAUUCUUCAGUGUUGAAAAUUAUUGGUGUUCCACCUCCGUGCGUUGGUGAGCACGUUAGACCAUCCCUUUCAUUAUCAUUAAAAUCAGAAAGUACUCAAUAAAGAUAAAACAAUAUCACAACUCAGUCAACACUAAUUUUAGCACUGUGAUGGAUCUAACAUCCAUAUUCCUUACCUAGAAGGCUCGGCAAUUAAAUGGGCUAUUAAAAUAGCCUAAUGUUGAUACCAUAUUUUAGCUACCGUACUUACCUAUCGUUUCGUCCAAAAUUCCUCAGUGCCUGAAGACGAAAAUCUUCAAACGGUGCGUGUUGCCAGUGAUGCCAUAGGGAUUCGAGACCUGGUCGCUAACUGUGGCCUUUUAUAAAGGCUCAAAGUCACAAAGCGGAUGAUGGCGCGAGCUAUGCUUGGGGUUUCUCUGCAUGAUCGAAUCAGAAAUAAGGAGAUCCUCAAAAGAACUAAAGUCACUGAUAUAGAUCAGCGAAUCACGAAGUUGAAGUGGCAAUAAGCAGGCCACAUAGUUCGCAGAGCCGAUGGGUCCCAAGGUGCUGGAAUGGAGACCCUGCACCAGAAAGCGCAGUGUUGAUCCACCCCCCACUAGGUGACCGAAGAUAUCAAGCAGGUUGCAGGGAGUCGCUGGAUACUCGCAGCUCUAGACCGUUUUAUUUGAAAGUCCAUGCAAGAGGCCUGUGUCCAGCUGUGGACGUCCAUCGGCUGUUAAUGAUAAUGAUGAUGAUGAUGAUGAUGAUGAUGAUGAUGAUGAUGAUGAUGAUGAUGAUGAUGAUGAUGAUGAUGAUGAUGAUGAUGAGUUACCUAUAGUGGAAGCAUUGGCUGACAAACUUAUUGAAAAUAUGUAGGAUAAGUUAAGUUAUACCACAGAAAUAUGACAGUAUUAUUCCCUUGGGCAAUAACGCCUGAUGGUAAGCGAUGAUGCAUCACGUGAUAGAACGCGUUUUCCUAGAAUAAGGAUAUUGCACCCAUAUUAAAGGUGACGAAAAAAAACACAUAUAUGGAAGGGUGUUCCAUAUAAUUCCAGUUCAAUUAACAACAAAAUUCCUUUAUGUUGUUAAGGUUUAUCAAAUAAGUAAUAUAGAAUACAUAAAAAAAUUAAAGGAUUUUUUAAUAUGACACGAUUGCUAACCUUUCUUAAUUUUUAGUAGUCGUAAAAGAAAAUUGUACUUUCACCAAAAUAAAAUAAAUAAAUUGAUAAAGUAAUAUAUGUCACGAAAUUUUUGUAAUAAAAAUAAAAUAAACGUGAUCUAAUAACACUUUAUUGCUUUUUACUAACUUACUUACUUGUUUACUUUUCUAGAUCAUUCUUGUGUAUUCAAUCAUCAGGUCUAAUAUUGCAAUAUGCGGGGCUUUAUAUUAAUUAUAGGCAUGGUUUUUAUUUCGAAAACAAAUCUUUAUGGUAUAAUAAUAUUUUUAAAUUUUUAAUUUUUAGAUUACACAAACUUUUAAAUAACAGAUUUUGUUGAUUAAUUCGUGUUAAAGUAAAUAUGUGGUUAAUAACAAAUGAGAAUCCUAUCUAUUUGCAUGUAAAAAAGCAACAGUAAUUAUGUACACAAAAUCCUGUCUCAAAAUUUGUAUAUUCUGUAUUUUUGAUGUAUUUAAUUGAAUUUUUAAACGUGUAUGAAAUUUAUUUUUUUUGCAGUUAGUGGAGCCCCUACAAGUCAAGGUAAUAUUUAAAAAUUUAAAAAAGCCUCUUUCCUUAUCUUUAUUUAAACACUAUUGAGUAUAAUCAACAUGUUUUUACAGUUAUUCCUGUGGCAGUUCCUACUACGUCAGUGACUGGUAAUAUAUUAUAAUCAGUACACAAAUACAUACAUAAAUAGAAAUAAAAUUGAAGUGAAGAUGAUUAUUCACAGACAGAUGUCUGUACUGCUAGAUAGAGGGGCUUAUUGUACAUCAUAUAAUAGACUUCAUCAAAAAAUCCAUGGAUCCCGCGGGAUUUGCUAAAAACUGAAUAACACGCGGACGGAGUCGCGGAAGUCCGCUAGUGUCAAAUGUUACUUUCAAAUUGUCAGAUAAUUUUUUACUUCUAAUUUCAUGUUAAUUAUUAAUUAGGUACAAAUAAAGCAAAAUGUGCAAAUUGGUAUAAUUUGUGCAAAAGUUUGAAUAAAUAACUUUAUUCAUUUUCUUUACAGCGGACCCUACCAAUACUGCAUCAGCAAAAAACACACAAACUACUAACAUCAUAGUGAACAUCCAAGAACCUAAGGAACAAGCACAGGAACAAGAAAAGCCAAGAUGGGGGCGAAAGGAUGGAUGGGAUAGAAGAAGACACCACCAUGGGCUUAGAAAGCACUUAACACCUUGAAUAAAACAAUAAACACCAAAUCAGUAUCUGCAUUUUUUUAUUUUUUUAUAUCCGGGAAUAAAUUAGUGGACUGUGGGCUAUAAAAAGGUGCUGGUGAGACGUAUAAAAAAUUCCUCUAGGGCUGGACAAACUACCUACCUUCCGAUUAUGUCCAUCAGACCUGCUGCUGGAGACCAGUUUCCACACUAACACGUCGAUACGGCGUUUGGAGACACACACUUGACCGCGGCCUUGAUCUUUUUUUUUUAAUUUUUUACAAGUUAGCCCUUGACUACAAUCUCACCUUGACUAUGCAAUCCAAGCGAUGGUGCAAUCUAAGAUGGAAGCCGUCUUACUUGUUAGGAUUAGAAUAAAAAUCCAAACCACUCUUGGUUCCUACACUACUUCGUACCAGAAUGCUAGGAAGUAAAACUAUAAGAAAUUGUAAUUGUUAUCAAUUGUAAAUUAUGAUACUGUAUGACUUUUUCAUUUCAAAAGAGCAACUGUUGAGUUUCUUGCCGGUAUCUUCUCAGCAGAACCUGCCUUCCGAACCGGUGGUAGAAUCUUUACAAAUAGUCAACUGACGUGUCAAAAGUGCUUGUAAACUGAGCCUACUUGAAAUAAAUGAUUUUUAAUUUUGAUUUUGAUUUAGAUCGCUUGAUGGGUACGUCUUUGCCGGUAGGGUGGUUACUAGCCACGACCGAAGCCUCCCACCAGCUAUACCUGGACCAUUUAGGAAAACAUCAAUCGGCUCAGCCGGGAUCGAACCCAGGACAUCCGUCUUGUAAAUUCACUGCGCAUACCACAGCACCACAGAAGCCGUCUAGCCGUUCUAUACCGAUGAAUCUAUAGUUGUAUUAUCUAUACUUAAAAUAAAAUCGUUAUAGGUCAAAUUCUGUACAUUGAAGAUACUUUGAAUUUUUUGGAAGGCAUUAUAUAUCGUCGUCGUCAUCAACCCAUAUUCGGCUCACUGCUGAGCUCGAGUCUCCUCUCAGAAUGAGAGGGGUUAGGCCAGUAGUCCACCACGCUGGCCCAAUGCGGAUUGGCAAACUUCACACACGCAGAGAAUUAAGAUAAUUCUCUGGUAUGUAGGUUUCCUUCACCGAUUGAGACACGUGAUAUUUAAUUUCUUAAAAUGCACACAACUGAAAAGUUGGAGGUGCAUGCCCCGGACCGGAUUCGAACCCACACCCCCCGGAAUCGGAGGCAGAGGUCAUAUCCACUGGGCUAUCACAGCUCUAUAUAUAUCAGCAUUAUAUAUACUGAAGCCAAAAAUAUUUUUUUUGUCUUUCUGUCUAUCCGUAUUUUUGUUGACCGGGCAUCUCGCCAAAACUACUGAAUAAAUUCAAAUGAAACUUCGCACGAUGUAAAACCAUAAAACAAAGAAGGCUGUAGGAUACUUUUUGUCGCACAAAUGAUAUCAGAAGGGGUUGAAACAGGGGUUGAAACAGGGUAUGUGUACUACCAGAAAUAUAAUCUCAUUCAAGACAUUUCAAAAUUCAACCCCGAAAGGGUUAAAAAGGGGUUGAAUUUAUUUUUAUUUAAAUCGUUCAUGUUUUGAGAUAUAGUCUUGUAAAACAUGCAAACAUAUAAAUAGAAUAACAGACAAAUAAAUAGAACAUAUAAGUUAUUUGUGAGUGUCAUAGGCUAUAUUUUAUACCCAUAUCUCCACGGGAACAAGAACUACUGGGAUGAAACCACGGGGUUUCAACUAGGCUUAACACGUGACAUCCUUAUCCUACGUCUCAACAUUUAUGACACCGCUAAUCUUCCAGCUUUUACUACUUUUUCACGAUCUUUUUAUUACUCUUUAUCGCAAUAUCAAAGUUAUUUUCCGAACAUAAUAAGAUACAAUACGUCGUGUACAAGAAAGCACAUCCUUUUAAUAUUCUAACUUUUAAUUAUUUAUUACUUAUUGAAAAAAAUUAUGAUUAAACAUUCCAUUAAAUACAAUAAGAUCUUUUCAUUAUGAAGUUGAAAGCUUUUGUCCUAAAUCUUAUUAUUCUAUUGAACUUAACACGUUCGCUGCGUCACUGAUUUUUCAGUACUUUACCAAUACAAUACGAGGUUUUUUGACCUCGUACUAAAACUUUUGUGGCGUGGUGCGAGGUUAAUUGACCUCGUACCGUGCAACACGAGGUUAAUUGACCUCGUACCGUGCAAUACGUGGUUUUUUGACCUCGCACUAAAACUGUGGUGUGGUACGAGGUUAAUUGACCUCGUACCGCAGUGAACGUGUUAAUAUAUGGGAUAUGUGGUGCUCGUAAGUAAAAGAUUUUCAUGUAUAUUUUUUAGAAGUUUUAAUGAAAUAGCAUAAAAAUAUUAUUUUUUUUCUAAUUUCAGCUUACUUCAGCGCCGUUGAAGGUAUGAGAAAUUUCCAUUGUCCAUUAUUUAAAAAGCGUGAAUACUUUAAUGAGUUGUCGUUUCUUAAAUUUUCUAAACCCAGUUUUGUAUUGACAUUUGUAUUUACGAAUUUUCUCUCCUUUGGUUUAGUUCACUGUUGGACUAUGAAAGAUUAAAAGAGAUAAUAUUUAUACGUAUAUGUGUACUACAAUAUUGUCUGUGUUUGCAAUUGCUGAGCGAAUUUUAUCAGGAGAACAUUUAUGUUUAGGUAUAUUUUUAAUCCCCUACGCAAACAGAGGUCGUAACUCAUAUACGGAUGGAAACUAAGGUAGAAAACGCAUGUCAUUUCAUAAUCAUAACUUAUUUAUUUUAAAAUAGCGCACGCCCGCGACUUCGCCUGCGUUGAAUUCAGUUUUUCACAAAUCCCGCGGGAACCAUGGAUUUUUUCUAAUAUUUUAGCCUAUGUGUUAUUCCAGAGUAAAACCUAUUUCCGUUCCAAAUUUCAGCCAAAUCGCUUCAGUAGCCGCAGCGUAAAGGACGAAAAAACAUACCUACUUACACACAAACAUUGGCCUUUAUAAUAUUACUGUGAUUAAGUAAUGUUUUAUAAAAUGUUAUUCAAAAUAAAUUUAGUAUAUCUAAUUGUUCUACGCUUAUUAAUCAAAUUUAUUUUCAUGAAUAUAAGUUCAAGUCAAUUGUAAUUAUAUUAUUAUUAUUAUAGGUGUGAUUUGAUUAGCAAUUUAUACCCUCAGUUUUAAUUUGUUGGUAAACAUUGAAUAUGGCUUCAAAAAAAUUCUAAAUUCAUUUAUUUCAAGUAGGCUCACUUUACAAGCACUUUUGAUACGUCAGUUGACUAUUUGUAAAGAUUCUACCACCGGUUUGGAAGGCAGAUUUUGGUGAGAAGAAACCGGCAAGAAAAAAAAACAGUUGCUCUUUUUUUUUUUAAAAAAAACAGACAAUAUUUUAAUUUACAAUUGUUUUUUUUACAAUUUCUUAUAGUUUUACUUCCUGUGUGAAGGUGGAAGCUGUGUGUUGUAUAUAAAGUGCUAGAAUAAAUCACUUAUUAUAAUUUCCAGUGACCGCCGUUAGCUCUGCAUCCUCAUCGUCGAAUGGCGCAGAUGCUCUUACAGGAACAUAUCAAAGCUUCGGCACUGGCAGUCCUAGGUUCACUCCAACGAAUAUGUUCCCCCUAUGUUUCCCUGUAAGUCUUUAAAUUAUUACAUGUAAAAUUAAAAAUAAAAAUUGCAAACAACUAAAUAAUUGUAUUGACAAUUAAAAGUUUAUACGACAAAAAUUUAAAAGAUUUUUAUGUUUGGUAACGAAAUUGUCAACUCGAAUAAAUACCCUUUUAUAAUUUAUAUCAUCAGAGUUAUUAAUAUUUUUAAUUUUUAUGAAAUAAUGUAAGCUUUUUUAAGAACUUUGAAUAUUAAAGUUUAUUUGAAUAAUUCUAACUUUCAGUUCUGCGAUGACGAAUGAAAGUUUUUAAAAUAGGUAAGUAUACUUGCAGACCACCAUAGACCUUAUUUUACCAUACCUUAUCAGCCGAUAGACUUCCACUGCUGGACAUAGGCCUCUUGCAUGGACCUCCAAGCACAACGGUCUCGAGGCGCCAGCAUCCAGCGGCUCCCUGCAACCCGCUUGAUAUUGUCAGUCCACCUAGUGGGGGGUCGGCCAACACUGCGCUUUCUGGUGCGAGGUCGCCAUUCCAGCACCUUGGAACCACAACGUCCAUCGGCUCGUAGCCCAUAGGUAUUUAAGUACUAUGUACCUACUAUUUAAUAACAUUAAUACUUUUUUAUCCUAGUAUCAUUAAUUUGGGGAUAGUUGGAUACAACCAAUGUUUAUAAUCUACCUUUAAAAAAUAAAAAUAUGUAGGUAAAUAAAUAAAUAAUGUUGUAAGGCGAGACAAGUUUGUAAAUCGAAUCUGUGAUCAAUUGAAAUAUUAAUCUUCAAUUGUAGUUGACCACAUUAUAAAUUAGGUAUAAUUAAUAUAUAAAAUAAAUAUUCACUACUCCACUGUUUAAAAUAUUUAAAUAUUUCUUGAAUAUAAUUUUUAUUUCAGGUACGUCGUAGGUCGUCGUGUGUGCAAUUAAAAAAUAUUGCAAUGAAAAUUUAUAUUUUUAUAAUACUAAAUUUGAUAAUUAAUAAAGGUAACUUAUGGAAAUAAAUCACUUCUUAUAAUUUAUUAGUUACUUGAGACGCAGACAUUGUGUUUGUUUAUGGAUAGUUUUUCACCUACAGUAAAAGACCUUUAAGGUUCUUCAAAAAAAGCUGAAAAAAAACAUUAAAAUAUGUUAAAUGUACCUAAUUAAAAAUGGUUUUUGGUUUCAUCAUCAUCUUCUUUCCCUUAUCCCACUUAAGUAGGGUCGGAAAAAUAUAUCAUUCUAUUCCAUUCAUCUCUAUUACUCGUCAACUCAUCAUCCACUCCCUUUAUACACAUGUCCUCUUUCAGCCAAUCCAGCCAUCUCUUCUUUGGCCUUCCUCUCCUCUUAUGUCCUUCCACUUGCACAUUCAAUGUUUUUCUAGUAAUAUGACUUUCCUCCCUACGCAUUACAUGUCUAUACCAAGCUAACCUUCAACUCCUCAAUCUUUCUGUCACCGGCGCCACUUUCAGUUGUUUGUUGGAUAAUAAAAAUUAGUAUUUUAUCCAUCUUAGCUUUUGGAUAUCUUUUUCAUUGUACUUUCCAGACGCAGUUUCUAGUUUAUAGUACAAAUAAUUAAAUAGGCAUUUUUGGGUCUGUUUGGUUUUUUUUUUAUUUAAUAGGUAGCUUAGGCACUCCUUUUCCUCUAGAAAUGUUAUGUUUUUAAUACUUAUCCACUGAUACUCAAAAAUGCUAGCUCGUAUGCAUCAGGCAUACACUAAAACUUUUCUCUUAUUACGUACGAUUCACAUACAAAGAUAGGAAGUCUCAUCAUCAUCAUCAUUAUCAACCCAUGUUCGGCUCACUGCUGAGCUCGAGUCUCCCCUCAGAAUACGAGGGGUUAGGCCAAUAGUCCACCACGCUGGCCCAAUGCGGGUUGCCAGACUUCACACACGCAGAGAAUUACGAAAAUUCUCUCGUAUGCAGGUUUCCUCGAUGUUUUUCCUUUACCGUUUGAGACACGUGAUAUCUAAUUUCUUAAAAUGCACACAACUGAAAAGUUGGAGGUGCAUGCCCCGGACCGGAUUCGAACCCACACCCUCCGGAAUCGGAGGCAGAGGUCAUAAUAUCCACUGAGCUAUCACGGCUCAAAGCAUAGGAAGUCUAGGAAACGAAAAACGUGACGAAUACUUUUUGCGCUCGUCUUAGAAGAAAAGACUAUUUCAAUAAAAUUAUUUCAAUUAUUAUAUUAUAACUAAUUAGAUAUUUAUUAAUUAUCUCUACAUUUAUCUAUGUACCUAUUCGUAUACUUAAGUAAUAACGUUUUUUAUGAGUUCAAAUAAGUUUAAUGUUUCUUCAUUAGUCACGAUUUGAUGUUGAAAAAAUUAGUUUUUUGUUACAGUCGUGAUCUAUACUAAAACUAAAAGCUGACUAAUAAAAUACACAUAAAUGGUAAAACACUUAAAAUUGUGUAAACAUGAUAAACAAAAUAGAGAUCUCACUUAUGUUACAAAGAAUGUUCAUAAAAUAUACAAAUAAUAAAGGUUAUUUAACUAUACCUAUCUAUUUUCAAAUUCAUAUUCAUAUAAAUGUGUAUGUACCAUGAAAAUAAACUUUAACUUAAAAACUGAUGAGUAUUAUUGUUUCAAAUUAUCAACUAUUAUUUUCUAUACUUAUAA